GAUGAACGCUGGCGGCGUGCUUAACACAUGCAAGUCGAACGGGAAACCUUUUAAUGAAGCUUCGGCAGAUUUAGCUGGUUUCUAGUGGCGGACGGGUGAGUAACGCGAGGGUAACCUGCCUUAUACAGGGGGAUAACAGUCAGAAAUGACUGCUAAUACCGCAUAAGCGCACAGGACCGCAUGGUCCGGUGUGAAAAACUCCGGUGGUAUAAGAUGGACCCGCGUUGGAUUAGCUUGUUGGUGGGGUAACGGCUCACCAAGGCGACGACCCAUAGCCGGCCUGAGAGGGUGAACGGCCACAUUGGGACUGAGACACGGCCCAGACUCCUACGGGAGGCAGCAGUGGGGAAUAUUGCACAAUGGGGGAAACCCUGAUGCAGCGACGCCGCGUGAAGGAAGAAGUAUCUCGGUAUGUAAACUUCUAUCAGCAGGGAAGAUAGUGACGGUACCUGACUAAGAAGCCCCGGCUAACUACGUG
rnacentral:rRNA from 1 species